rnacentral:rRNA from 1 species
GCGUGAUACUGUGAUGCUGGAGUAAUGGAGGGGGAACCGGAAUUCUUGGUGUAGCAGUGAAAUGCGUAGAUAUCAAGAAGAAGACUCGUGGCGAAGGCGGGUUCCUGGACAUUUACUGACGCUGUGGUACGAAGGCUAGGGUAGCGAAAGGGAUUAGAUACCCCUGUAGUCCUAGCAGUAAACGGUGCAUGCUUGGUGUGCGGGGAAUCGACCCCCUGCGUGCCGGAGUUAACACGUUAAGCAUGCCGCCUGGGGAGUACGGUCGCAAGAUUAAAACUCAAAGAAAUUGACGGGGACCCGCACAAGCGGUGGAGUAUGUGGCUUGAUUCGAUGCAACGCGAAGAACCUUACCAAGGCUUGACGUCCCAUGGCCGCCCAUGAAAGUGGGUUUUCUAUUCGUAGACAUGGAGACAGGUGCUGCAUGGCCGUCGUCAGCUCGUGUCGUGAGAUGUUUGGUUAAGUCCAGCAACGAGCGCAACCCCUGCUGCCAGUUACCAUCAUUAAGUUGGGGACUCUGGCGGGACUGCCCAGAUCAACUGGGAGGAAGGUGGGGACGACGUCAGGUCAGUAUGGCCCUUAUGCCUUGGGCUGCACACGUACUACAAUGCCCAGUACAGAGGGAAGCAAGCAGGUGACUGCAAGCAGAUCCCGAAAAGUGGGCCCAGUUCGGAUUGGAGGCUGCAACUCGCCUCCAUGAAGCCGGAAUCGCUAGUAAUGGCGCAUCAGCUACGGCGCCGUGAAUACGUUCCCGGGUCUUGUACACAC